rnacentral:rRNA from 1 species
UCGAGCGAGUCUGCCUUGAAGAUCGGAGUGCUUGCACUCUGUGAAACAAGAUACAGGCUAGCGGCGGACGGGUGAGUAACACGUGGGUAACCUGCCCAAGAGAUCGGGAUAACACCUGGAAACAGAUGCUAAUACCGGAUAACAACAGAUGAUGCCUAUCAACUGUUUAAAAGAUGGUUCUGCUAUCACUCUUGGAUGGACCUGCGGUGCAUUAGCUAGUUGGUAGGGUAACGGCCUACCAAGGCGAUGAUGCAUAGCCGAGUUGAGAGACUGAUCGGCCACAUUGGGACUGAGACACGGCCCAAACUCCUACGGGAGGCAGCAGUAGGGAAUCUUCCACAAUGGACGCAAGUCUGAUGGAGCAACGCCGCGUGAGUGAAGAAGGGCUUCGGCUCGUAAAGCUCUGUUGUUGGUGAAGAAGGACAGGGGUAGUAACUGACCUUUGUUUGACGGUAAUCAAUUAGAAAGUCACGGCUAACUACGUGCCAGCAGCCGCGGUAAUACGUAGGUGGCAAGCGUUGUCCGGAUUUAUUGGGCGUAAAGCGAGUGCAGGCGGCUCGAUAAGUCUGAUGUGAAAGCCUUCGGCUCAACCGGAGAAUUGCAUCAGAAACUGUCGAGCUUGAGUACAGAAGAGGAGAGUGGAACUCCAUGUGUAGCGGUGAAAUGCGUAGAUAUAUGGAAGAACACCGGUGGCGAAGGCGGCUCUCUGGUCUGUUACUGACGCUG